CAAUAGCUCAGUUGGAUAGAGCGACUGCCUCCUAAGCAGUAGGCCGCUGGUUCGAAUCCAGUUUG
rnacentral:tRNA from 1 species